GCUCAGGGAGGCCGUCGAGCAGCAGAAAGUGAAGAACAAUGACCUCCGGGAGAAGAACUGGAAGGCCAUGGAGGCACUGGCCACGGCCGAGCAGGCCUGCAAGGAGAAGCUGCACUCCCUGACCCAGGCCAAGGAGGAAUCGGAGAAGCAGCUCUGUCUGAUUGAGGCGCAGACCAUGGAGGCCCUGCUGGCUCUGCUCCCAGAACUCUCUGUCUUGGC
rnacentral:misc_RNA from 1 species